CUUUGAUUUGCAUGCAUGGAGAAGAACUAAUAUAAGAGAGACGUAUCAUUCUUGGCUGAGAGAGAAUCUGAAGUCAAAUAUGACAAUGUGGAAGCUUGGAACCCUGCCUCCUGCUUUGAUUGCAUUUAAAGGUCUUGUUCAACCAAUUGAUCCCUCUUGGCACAUGCUUGGCUUGGGUUAUCAGAACAAUACCAAUAUUGAGAGUGUGAAAAAGGCUGCUGUUAUUCACUACAAUGGGUAGUCAAAACCUUGGUUGCAAAUUGGCUUUGAACAUCUUUGGCCAUUUUGGACUAAGUAUGUCAAUUAUUCAAAUGAUUUUUUGAGGAACUGUCAUAUCCUGGAAUCAUAGUCUGCCAGUGGAGCAAUAUGUUUUGUACAACAGUGAAUAUGAAAGGGGCAAGUAUUACAGGUUUCAUCUAAAUUUUUGCUGCUUGAAAUUUUCUUCAAGAUGAAUUUGAUAA